rnacentral:lncRNA from 1 species
UUGGAAAACUCUAAUUGUAUCACUCGAUAAUUUAGCUCCUAAUGGUAUAAUGACUUUGAAAAUGGUGAAGGAUAGUAUGCUUACUGAGGAGAUCAAAAGAAGAGAACAAGGUGUGACUACAAAGUCAGAGGCAUUGAUUAUAAAAAGAUAGAGGAAGAGUAAAAUCAGAAAUUUAUAAAAUCCUAACAAUCAUGACAAGUCAAAA